CUAGACCUGAAAUCAGUCGAGGACACCCGCUGAAUUUAAGCAUAUUAUUAAGCGGAGGAAAAGAAAAUAACUAUGAUUCCCCUAGUAACGGCGAGUGAAGAGGGAGGUGCUCAAAGUGAAAAUCGUGGUACCUCUUAUGGUACCGCGAGUUGUAGCCUCUAGAGGCGUUACCAGUGGAGGGGCAGGUCUAAGUUUCUUGG
rnacentral:rRNA from 1 species